UACGGGGGGGGCAAGCGUUGUUCGGAAUUACUGGGCGUAAAGGGCUUGUAGGUGGCCAACUAAGUCAGACGUGAAAUCCCCCGGCUUAACCGGGGAACUGCGUCUGAUACUGGAUGGCUUGAGUGUGGGAGAGGGAUGCGGAAUUCCAGGUGUAGCGGUGAAAUGCGUAGAUAUCUGGAGGAACACCGGUGGCGAAGGCGGCAUCCUGGACCAUUACUGACACUGAAAAGCGAAAGCCAGGGGAGCAAACGGG
rnacentral:rRNA from 1 species